rnacentral:misc_RNA from 1 species
GUAGGUGAACCUGCGGAAGGAUCAUUAAAGAUUCGGCUCUCGAGCCAAACCUCUUCAGCUGUGCGCUUCGGCUGCACGCUGUUGAACCUCACACACCUGUGAACAUUCCGGUUGUGGGUCACCUCUGGGUGUCUCACUUCCGCCUUUACAUCAAACUACCAGUCUAGAAUGUAAAAACUAUAAAUGAACAACUUUCAACAACGGAUCUCUUGGCUCUCGCAUCGAUGAAGAACGCAGCAUCUGACUGACU